rnacentral:lncRNA from 1 species
AGUGCUCCUUGGAGGGACCAUGUGAGCUGGAAGAUAAGGCCAUAAGUUGUCAGUAGAUGUCAAACCCUUCGUUCCCAGAUUAGCUGGGCCCAAGGUGGCAUGGUCACAGUCCUCAGAAGCAUAUGCUUUCCUUAGCUGUGCAGCCACACACUGUCUAUUUGUUCCAGAGCCAGGAGUGACAGAGCAGAAAAUAUAUUCUGAAGAUAUAGCCUCAGGAGCUUCAACUUUCCCACCUCAGAAUUUACCUUCUGAGAUAACUCUUCAUCCAUACGCCUAUUCUCCUUUUACCCUCGACUCUACACAAAAUGCUUGCUCAGCACCUGAUCCCAGUAUGAUUAUAACCAACUCAGUUGUUACCAAGGUUUUCAAACUGUGAGGCUCCAAAAGGAUUCCAUGUGCCAUUUUCCACAAGAAACAAAACUCUGUUUAAGAACCAAACGAUGAUGAGGAAAAAAAUAAUGUGUAAUGAGCAAAAGUUUGACAGUAAAAGGGCUGAUGGAACCAUAUCAUCUGAGACAAGAUCAGCUAAACAUUCACAUCAUUAGUCCAUUCAUGCUGAGGACAGUUUGAAAUCAAAUGGCAACAAAAAACAAACAGGAAACACAGAACCACUGCAAAAAGUAGGUCUUCCACCAAACCUGAAUUUGAAUUUAUCAGGUUGGAUUUUCCUCAACUACAAGGUCCAGAGAACAAAAGCAACAACGAUACAAAAGCAACCCAAGUGGGGAUCGGGCUACUCCACGUGGACCAACGUUUGUCUUCUAAGAGAAGUGGUGAAUUCAGCUGACAUGUUCUCAGAGGGUGAAAGAGUGGUGAAAAACAAUUAUCCAAGUGAAUCUGUAACUUCUGAUGCUGCUACCAACUCCCCUUCCUGUACAAGAGUUAUCCUGGACACCAGUGGUGAUGCUGUUUGGCAGACAUUACGUAUAGCACUGUCCCCAAUCCCUAAAAACGGUGCUUCCAUGCUAAACCUGGGUACCUAUGAAGACAAGUGCUUCAUCAGCAGAUCCUAAAGUUGUUAGUGUAUAAUUUUUUGAAGUUUUAUCUUCAGAUCCUUCCCAUAACAAAGGAAAACACGUUAUUCAUCAUGUGAAAAUGUCUGAAGCAUCACAUGCUGGCAACCUUGAACAAAAUGAAGCCUCAGGGAAAAAAAAAAAAAAAGAAAGAAAAGAAAGGCAAGUUUAAAUCGAAAUACGAAAAUCUAAAUCGCAUUACGAAUCCUGAUAGCUCAAGAGCCACCAAUAAUUGAAGAUGUCAAGGAGUUUCCCAACCUGACUGCUGCAUCUGAAAGAAGAGAGAGUCGAGUCACCAAAUUGCAAUCUAAACAGCAGCCAUGGAAUAAUUUUUUAAAUGGUUUAAAGAAGAGCCAGAUUCCAGUACGGCUGGGUUUGGGGAAAAUGCUGACAGCACUGAAAAAGCAGCAGCACUCGCAGUGUGCAGACCAGUGGUGUUCUCAGCCGGAGCCCUAUGAGCCCUUUCCAGAGAAGCCGCGUGGGUCAGGUGAGGAGGCUCCCCGCACAAGCCCUUCCACUGCAGCAUCCCCUUGAAGAAGAAGGGGAAAAAGAGAGAGGUUCCCAAGGCCAUGAAGUCAACCUCACUGAAGAUUAUGUGGCAAGAAUGGCGAGAGAAAGCAGCAGCAUCUCCAAGAAAAUGCCAGGAGCCCAGCUUUUGCCAGUGAUAAUGCACAAACCCAGGAGGUGGACCCCUCAGAUCCAGGGGGAUGGACUUCCCUGUCCCCUGCAUUCCUGUGGCCCAGGGCAGGACAGAAGAGCCGCGGGACACAGGACUCCAGAGGGACGCUGCAGCUUCCUUGCUCCCAACCACUCUGCCUUUGCUAAGAUUCACAGCCGCAGGUGCGGGAUCCCUGCAGCCAGAGGUUCAGUAAGGAAAUGGAAGCCUGUGUAACUGCGCCUGCUUCAAUAACUGGUCCCUUUCCAAGACCGUAUGUGCCAGAAAGAUCCAGCCAAAACCAAGACCAAAGGCUGACUUGUGUAAGGACUGAGUGACGUUUUCAAACAUCUGGAGCUGAAAAAGUUGAAAUACAUCGUUUAUCCCAGUUGUGAGAAGGUGCACAGGAAAGGUGGGUUAGGGGACAGUGUGCACAACACCAUUGAUGAGACCUAUGAGCAGAGCACUAUUUUUUUAUUUGCUCUCAACCACAGAGCUCUGCGAGGAGUUUCAACAAAGCAGAUCCUCUCAGUGUGGUGGAGAAACUUCAGCUAACAAGGGGCCCUGGACUAGUUUCACAAGAGCUGAGGAUGGAUCCUGGCAGGUGUGGAAGGCCAGGCUGGAGAAUGUGCAAGGGGACCUCAACCUCUCCAGCCCAUUGCACAGGGCUCCAGCUGCUCUGCAGAAGACAGAAAAAACAACCACACUGCGUGGAAAUCUGGAAAAAUCAUCUGGAAGUCAGCAACCAAUCUGUCCUAAAGCUACAAGAAUCAUUGAAGGCUUCAACCUCCCAGAUGAUGAACUUGAAUUUUUAAA